AAAAGCAGGAUUUCGCGUAAUAAGAGAUGGCAGAAACAGAGCCCAGGCCACACCCAGGUAAUACACCUGCAGUGGUGUCCCCGGAUGAAGCCACAGGAACAGACUGCUGUUGUCUGGUUAAAGCUGAAGACGAUGUAUUUAAAGAACCAAUGAAGAAAAGACGCCGGUCGGGCCCAGGCCAGCGAUUCCGAGCCCUUCAGUCAGCAGAACAGUGCGCUCUUAAGGAAUGUGAGUUUAUAAAACUGUGGUGUACCUUGUUUAAC
rnacentral:lncRNA from 1 species